rnacentral:rRNA from 1 species
AGUGAACGCUGGCGGUAGGCCUAACACAUGCAAGUCGAACGGCAGCACAGUAAGAGCUUGCUCUUACGGGUGGCGAGUGGCGGACGGGUGAGGAAUACAUCAGAAUCUACUUUUUCGUGGGGGAUAACGUAGGGAAACUUACGCUAAUACCGCAUACGACCUACGGGUGAAAGCAGGGGAUCUUCGGACCCUGCGCGAUUGAAUGAGCCGAUGUCGGAUUAGCUAGUUGGCGGGGUAAAGGCCCACCAAGGCGACGAUCCGUAGCUGGCCUGAGAGGAUGAUCAGCCACACUGGAACUGAGACACGGUCCAGACUCCUACGGGAGGCAGCAGUGGGGAAUAUUGGACAAUGGGCGCAAGCCUGAUCCAGCCAUACCGCGUGGGUGAAGAGGGCCUUCGGGUUGUAAAGCCCUUUUGUUGGGAAAGAAAAGCAGCAGGUUAAUACCCCGCUGUUCUGACGGUACCCAAAGAAUAAGCACCGGCUAACUUCGUG